GACGAACGCUGGCGGCGCGCUUAACACAUGCAAGUCGAGCGAUGAAACUUUAACAGAACCCUUCGGGGCGAAGAGAAAGUGGAUUAGCGGCGGACGGGUGAGUAACACGUGAGUAACCUGCCUUAGACAUUGGGAUAGCCUCGGGAAACCGGGAUUAAUACCAAAUAAAAUCAUAAUGACACAUGUCAUAACGAUCAAAACUCCGGUGGUCUAAGAUGGACUCGCGUCCCAUUAGCUAGUUGGUAGAGUAAAAGCCUACCAAGGCGACGAUGGGUAGCCGGCCUGUGAGGGUGAACCGCCACAUUGGCACUGAGAAACGGUCCAAACUCCUACGGGAGGCAGCAGUGGGGAAUAUUGCACAAUGGAGGGAACUCUGAUGCAGCGACGCCGCGUGAACGAAGAAGGCUUUCGAGUCGUAAAGUUCUUUUAUAUGGGAAGAUAAUGACGGUACCAUAAGAAAAAGCCCCGGCUAACUACGUG
rnacentral:rRNA from 1 species